GACGAACGCUGGCGGCGUGCUUAACACAUGCAAGUCGAACGGCAAGGCCCUGCUUUUGUGGGGUGCUCGAUUGGCGAACGGGUGAGUAACACGUGAGUAACCUGCCCUUCACUUUGGUAUAACUUCAGGAAACUGGGGCUAAUACCGGAUAGCAGCUCCUCCUCCAUUGUGGGGGUUGGAAAGUCUCGGCGGUUGGGGUUGGAUGCGCGGCUUAUCGGCUUGUUGGUGGGGUAGUGGCUUACCAAGGCAUUGACGGGUAGCCGGCCUGAGAGGGUGACCGGCAACAUUGGGACUGAGAUACGGCCCAGACUGCUACGGGAGGCAGAAGUGGGGAAUAUUGCACAAUGGGAGGAAGCCUGAUGCAGCGACGCCGCGUGCGGGAUGACGGCCUUCGGGUUGUAAACCGCUUUCGGCUGUGACGAAGCGUGAGUGACGGUAAUGGGUAAAGAAGCACCGGCUAACUACGUG
rnacentral:rRNA from 1 species